UGCAGAGGCUAUCGGGAGCAUCUUUGUUGAUAUUUGCAAACAAGCAGGAUAUACAGGGUGCUCUUUCUCCUGGUGAUGUUGCCAAAGUGCUCAACUUGGAUGCCAUGGAUAAGACACGGCACUGGAAAAUUGUUGGUUGUAGUGCAUACACGGGAGAGGGGCUGCUCGAGGGAUUUGAUUGGCUGGUUCAGGAUAUUGCCUCUUGAAUUAAUGUGCUUGACUGAUGCAAGUCUCUAAUGCGUUGAUCAACCGUAGAAUCUCACAAAUUAAUAGUUUGGCAAAGUCAGGUUUUCUUGUUUCUUUGCUCA